CGUGGUAAGAUUUUUUGGCUCCUGAGGACAGCGUUAUAUUGGGGUAGAUAUGUAGUUGCAUUUUACCCAACAUCACAUUCACUGUGCAGUGAUGCAAGUAAGUACACAGGGACCAGGACGGUGGAGAACAGGGCCAGGAGGGGCAGCUAGAAUCAGAAAAGGCACUGUAUAAAUGAGGGGACAGACUCCCCAGUAAAGGACAGCUGCUUGGCUCUACAUUGUCAGUGAAAUGUGGCUCUAAAGCUGGCUUAACUAGCCAAGGGAAGAUCCUUCCAGUGCAAGGGGGAUACUCUAGUGGCAUAGAGCCAAUGCAGGGGCUCUCACACCACCCUUCCUCCCUGCUGCCAGUGUAGCAGGAGAAAGAUGGCCUGCCCUGGAUGCCCCUGCACUUGAACUCUACUGCUCUUUAGCUGCAUUUUUAUUCCCUGGGACCAUUGCAGCCUGGUGUAAAUUAGGGGACCUUUCAUGCUACUCCAAGUGCAAAGGGACUAGCCCCUGAAUGAAGAACACAAAGGCUCCUUCAAACAAACCUGCCUGAGAACCUUCACUGGUGUGGAAAGCAAAGGCCAUUUUCCUCUCAUUGCUGGGCUGCUGACAGAUCACUCAGAGCAAGCUGCACUCAAGUAUUAACAAGGCAUCUAUUGAAAGGAAGAGAGCAGGAGAGAUACAAAGCUGCUGCAUGUCCAAACAGUGUUAACAUGGGAGGUGUAAUUCCAAACUGGACCACUGGGCAGCUACUCAUUGUGGCUCCCCCUUGGCAGACCAACACCACUCUGCUAUGUAGGAUGCAGGAAGAAAACACAGGAAGUGAGGCAGGGGCUGCUGGAAAAAAGACUGGGUAGCUCACUGUGACUGGAGAACAUUUCACCUUGAUUGGAUGACUACUGGACAGCCAAAAAACCCAACUGAAAAGGUGUUCAGGCAAGUCAAGGUUGGAAAAGUACUGUAGAGACAACAGACCUGCUCAGGAAGGCUAAGGAGACAGUAAUUUCUCCUGGUAUAAGCCACUGUUUCAGUUUUAUUGAAAUGAAGUUUGUUGCAGCUUCUCAGGCAAGUGUUUCUGUGCUAGACUAUUGCAGCCCUUCCUUCUGUCCACAGUGCAACAGCUGCUGUGCAGAUCAAAGAUAAAAUGGGUGAGGUAGGACUGUAUCAUUCAUGCUGUCCCUUCUGCCCUACAAAAUUGACUAUACUAGGAAAUUGUUCUUAAAUAUCAAUUUUAAAAUAGUUUCCAGUAAUCUGGCAUUGCUCCCUGAAUAGAUGGGGCAUAAUUUGAUUCAAACAGCUUUUGGAAACCAUUCUUGAGACUAGCCAGUUUUAAAAAGUGAUUUUCUAGCUCAGUCUUUUGGAGUGUAACUGGGAUCUUAAGUCUUAGGCCCAUCAACCAGCAGAGGCCAUAUUUACUCCCCCAAAAACAGAGCUAUUGCCAUUGUGUUUCCUAAAAUGGAUAGAUAGAAUACAAACACAGAUCAACCAAAAAGAAAACCUUCUCAAAAUAAAAGUGUGCUAAAACCUAAAGUACACAGGAAUGAACAAUACUCCCUUGUGUCUUCUAUCCUUUCCGCUUGUAUCUAGUACCAGAUACUUCAGAGCAAAGCAUAAACCUCUUUAUUAUUACUAUAGCAUUUAUACUGCAGUACAUCUAGACAUCUCAACCAGUUUGGGAGUCCUGUUGUGCUAUGCCUGCACAGUGCUUAAACUGAGUCCCUGUCCCAGAGAGCUUUCUAUACCAAGUGUUUCUUAGUCAGGGUUGGAUUCCUUUUAGAAAAGGGGAAUUUGAAAAUUAGAAUCCUGUUUGCUUUCUGAGUGAGGCUGUUGAGAAAGCGUCCUGUCUUGUCAGCCGUCUCCCUAUCCCAAAGCACAUUUGACUCCCUCUCUCUGGUUUUCUUGUAUAUGUUUCAGUCCCAAUGACUGACACCUCCAUAUUUCUAUAAUCAAACCUUCGCCACAGUUAACACUAUUUGGCUCUCGCUCUUGUUAUCCUCAGCACAGAAGCCGGUCUCCAUAGUCGACUGGAGUUCUGAAUUCGGGCUCCUGCCCCUAAAGGCAGAUCUCUCCAGGGCAGCAUUGAGGCAGACUG